UACGGGGGGGGCAAGCGUUGUUCGGAAUUACUGGGCGUAAAGGGCUCGUAGGCGGCCCACUAAGUCCGACGUGAAAUCCCCAGGCUCAACCUGGGAACUGCGUCUGAUACUGGAUGGCUUGAAUCCGGGAGAGGGAUGCAGAAUUCCAGGUGUAGCGGUGAAAUGCGUAGAUAUCUGGAGGAAUACCGGUGGCGAAGGCGGCAUCCUGGACCGGCAUUGACGCUGAGGAGCGAAAGCCAGGGGAGCAAACGGG
rnacentral:rRNA from 1 species